rnacentral:rRNA from 1 species
UACAGAGGGGGCAAGCGUUAUUCGGAAUUAUUGGGCGUAAAGGGCGCGUAGGCGGCCUGGCAAGUGGAAGGUGAAAUCCCUCGGCUUAACCGGGGAACUGCCCUCUAAACUGCUUGGCUUGAGUCCGGGAGAGGUGAGUGGAAUUCCCAGUGUAGCGGUGAAAUGCGUAGAUAUUGGGAGGAACACCAGUGGCGAAGGCGGCUCACUGGACCGGAACUGACGCUGAGGCGCGAAAGCGUGGGGAGCAAACGGG